CUACGGGUGGCUCCAGUGAGGAAUAUUGCACAAUGGGGGGAACCCUGAUGCAGCAACGCCGCGUGGAGGAUGACGCAUUUCGGUGUGUAAACUCCUUUUAUAUGUCAAGAAAAUGACGGUAGCAUAUGAAUAAGCACCGGCUAACUCCGUGCCAGCAGCCGCGGUAAUACGGAGGGUGCAAGCGUUACUCGGAAUCACUGGGCGUAAAGGACGCGUAGGCGGGUUGGAAAGUCAGGUGUGAAAUCCUACAGCUUAACUGUAGAGCUGCACUUGAAACUUCUAAUCUAGAGUAUGGGAGGGGGAGAUGGAAUUAGUGGUGUAGGGGUAAAAUCCGUAGAUAUCACUAGGAGUACCUAAAGCGAAGGCGAUCUCCUGGAACAUUACUGACGCUAAGGCGUGAAAGCGUGGGGAGCAAACAGGAUUAGAUACCCUUGUAGUC
rnacentral:rRNA from 1 species